CGGAUGAGUAAUGUGUGGGUAAUUUGCCUUUUAGAGGGGGAUAACCCGGCGAAAGCUGAGCUAAUACCCCAUAACAUCACAAUGUCUUCGGACGUUAUGAUCAAAUGAUGGCCUCUAUUUAUAAGCUAUCGCUAAAAGAUGAGCCCACAUCCUAUCACGCUUGUUGGUGGGGUAAUGGCCCACCAAGGCGACGACGGGUAGCCGGCCUGAGAGGGUGUCCGGCCACACUGGAACUGAGACACGGUCCAGACUCCUACGGGAGGCAGCAGUGGGGAAUUUUUCGCAAUGGGCGAAAGCCUGACGAAGCAACGCCGCGUGGAGGAUGAGGGCCCUCGUGGUCGUAAACUCCUGUCUAGCGGGACGAAAGUAUUGGAGGUGAAUAAUCUCCGAUAUUGACUGUACCGCUGGAGGAAGCUCCGGCCAACUCCGUGCCAGCAGCCGCGGUAAUACGGAGGGAGCAAGCGUUACUCGGAAUUAUUGGGCGUAAAGGGCGCGUAGGCGAUCUGACAAGUCUGGUGUGAAAGCCCACAUGUUAACUGUGGAAGUGCAUUAGAAACUGUUGGAUUUGAGUUCAGGAGAGGAAGGCAGAAUUCCCGGUGUAGCGGUGAAAUGCGUAGAGAUCGGGAGGAAU
rnacentral:rRNA from 1 species